rnacentral:hammerhead_ribozyme from 2 species
AGAGUCUCUAAGAUUACAUUUAUCUUACUGAUGAGUCCUUAAGGACGAAAGAUUCU